rnacentral:rRNA from 1 species
AUUGAACGCUGGCGGCAGGCCUAACACAUGCAAGUCGAGCGAGCGGCGGACGGGUGAGUAAUGUCUGGGAAACUGCCCGAUGGAGGGGGAUAACUACUGGAAACGGUAGCUAAUACCGCAUAUUACCAGCUGUGCUCAGAUGGGCUUAGCUAGUGGGUGGGGUAAUGGCUCACCUAGGCGACGAUCCCUAGCUGGUCUGAGAGGAUGACCAGCCACACUGGAACUGAGACACGGUCCAGACUCCUACGGGAGGCAGCAGUGGGGAAUAUUGCACAAUGGGCGCAAGCCUGAUGCAGCCAUGCCGCGUGUGUGAAGAAGGCCUUCGGGUUGUAAAGCACUUUCAGCGGGGAGGCGGUACCCGCAGAAGAAGCACCGGCUAACUCCGUGCCAGCAGCCGCGGUAAUUC